UACAGAGGUCUCAAGCGUUGUUCGGAUUCAUUGGGCGUAAAGGGCGCGUAGGCGGUCAGCACAAGUCAGUUGUGAAAUCUCCGGGCUUAACUCGGAAAGGUCAACUGAUACUGUGCGACUAGAGUGCAGAAGGGGCAACUGGAAUUCUCGGUGUAGCGGUGAAAUGCGUAGAUAUCGUAAGGAAGACCAGUGGCGAAAGGCGGGUCUCU
rnacentral:rRNA from 1 species